UACGGAGGAGGCAAGCGUUAUCCGGAAUUAUUGGGCGUAAAGCGUCCGUAGGUGGCUCUCUCAAGUCUGCGGUCAAAGACCGGGGCUCAACCCUGGAAAGGCCGUGGAAACUGGUGAGCUAGAGUGCGGAAGGGGCAACUGGAAUUCUUGGUGUAGCGGUGAAAUGCGUAGAUAUCAAGAGGAACACCUGCGGCGAAGGCGGGUUGCUGGGCCGACACUGACGCUGAGGCGCGAAAGCCAGGGGAGCGAACGGG
rnacentral:rRNA from 1 species